GUGCCAGCCGCCGCGGUAAUACAGAGGUCACUAGCGUUGUUCGGAUUUACUGGGCGUAAAGCGUGCGCAGGCGGCCGACCUUGUCGGAUGUGAAAGCCCGGGGCUCAGCCCCGGAAGUGCAUCCGAAACCGGUCGGCUGGAGUCCGGGAAGGGAGUCUGGAACACACGGUGUAGCGGUGAAAUGCGUUGAUAUCGUGUGGAACACCGGAAGCGAAGGCGAGACUCUGGAACGGAACUGACGCUCAUGCACGAAAGCGUGGGGAGCAAACAGGAUUAGAUACCCUGGUAGUCCACGCCGUAAACGGUGCGCAUUAGUCGUGGGGGGAAUUGACCCCCCCCGUGGCCAAGCUAACGCGAUAAAUGCGCCGCCUGGGGAGUACGGCCGCAAGGUUAAAACUCAAAGAAAUUGACGGGGGCCCGCACAAGCGGAGGAGCAUGUGGCUUAAUUCGAUGCAACGCGAAGAACCUUACCCAGGCUUGACAUGCAGCUGCAAGUCCCAUGAAAGUGGGAUGCCUUCGAGGGUGCUGCACAGGUGCUGCAUGGCUGUCGUCAGUUCGUGCCGUGAGGUGUUUGGUUAAGUCCACCAACGAACGCAACCCCUGCCGCCGUUGCCCGCAAGGGCUCUCAGCGUGGACUGCCCGCUUUAGGGAGGAAGGUGGGGAUGACGUCAAGUCAGUAUGGCCCUUACGCCUGGGGCCGCACACGUGCUACAAUGGCCGGCACAGAGGGACGCGAGACCGCGAGGUGGAGCAAAACCCAGAGAACCGGCCCCAGUUCGGAUUGGAGUCUGCAACCCGACUCCAUGAAGUUGGAUUCGCUAGUAACGGCGCAUCAGCAGUUGGUGCCGUGAAUACGUUCCCGGGCCUUGUACACACCGCCCGU
rnacentral:rRNA from 1 species